AUUCCAUGAUGGGGACAUUCUAGGAUGUAGUCUUGUAAGCACUUGGCUCCCAUUCUUCUAGAACAGAUUCAUCAUGUUGUUGCUGAAAACUUGUAAUCUUCCAACAGAGAGC
rnacentral:snoRNA from 1 species